rnacentral:rRNA from 1 species
AGAGUUUGAUCAUGGCUCAGAACGAACGCUGGCGGCGUGCCUAACACAUGCAAGUCGUGCGAGAAAAGGGGGGCAACCCCCUGAGUAAAGCGGCGCACGGGUGAGUAACACGUAGGUAACCUACCCUCGAGACCGGGAUAACCUACCGAAAGGUGGGCUAAUACCGGAUAGGACCACGGGGACUUCGGUUCCUGAGGUGAAAGGUGGCCUCUGCUUGCAAGCUAUCACUUGAGGAUGGGCCUGCGCGCCAUUAGCUAGUUGGUGAGGUAACGGCUCACCAAGGCUGUGAUGGCUAGCUGGUCUGAGAGGAUGGCCAGCCACACUGGGACUGAAACACGGCCCAGACUCCUACGGGAGGCAGCAGUGGGGGAUAUUGCGCAAUGGGCGAGAGCCUGACGCAGCGACGCCGCGUGGGUGAUGAAGGCCUUCGGGUCGUAAAGCCCUGUCGAGGGGAAAGAAACGGUCCCGACCGAAUACGUCGGGAUCCUGACGGUACCCCUAAAGGAAGCACCGGCUAACUCCGUGCCAGCAGCCGCGGUAAUACGGAGGGUGCGAGCGUUGUUCGGAAUCACUGGGCGUAAAGGGCGUGUAGGCGGUCCGCUAAGUCUGAUGUGAAAGCCCGGGGCUCACCCCCGGAAGUGCAUUGGAAACUGGCGGACUCGAGUCCCGGAGAGGAGGGUGGAAUUCCUGGUGUAGCGGUGAAAUGCGUAGAUAUCAGGAGGAACACCGGUGGCGAAGGCGGCCCUCUGGACGGUGACUGACGCUGAGACGCGAAAGCGUGGGGAGCAAACAGGAUUAGAUACCCCGGUAGUCC